AACUUUUAGAACAAAUGGAUAGUGUUUUUCUGAUAAGAAACAAAGAUGACAGAAAUAGAAACUGCUUCUGAAAAGUGUAGUUAUACAGAGCAAACACUAAAUAAAAUGAGUGUGGUUUAUUACAAGUCUGAUAUAUCAGAUUUAAACUUCUACGUGUUAUGAAAAAGAAAAGCCAGUUUCAAAUUUCAUCACUUUCUUAAUGGAUAUGAGUGUAGUUCCUAGAAUGUCAAUAGCCCAAAGCUACCAAGCUAUUGAAUGAGAUAUUAAAAUUUCAUAAUAUUCUUUCUUUAGCAGUAGUUUUACUGUGGCAACCUAUCAUUCAAGAAAAUAUAAAACCAAGCUUUUAAGAAGUGUUUACAAGACCUUAAAUUGUUGAGCCUAAUUUUCAGAUUGUAUCAGAGGUCAAAGUAAUUCAUUGUACCUUCAUCAUCCAGGAAAGCCACCUUUGAGACAAAACACAAGUAGGAGACUAUCAUUAAAACAAAUGUGGCAAUACAUUAUUUUCUACUUCCAAAUUAGCUUAUCUCAUGGUAGUCUUAUCUUUAUACAGGCAUACGUGUAUUUUUUCUAUCUUAUGACAGCCGUAUGCAAUACUAUAAAGAGAAAAUUAUCAUUAAGGAAUGAGAAUGUCCAAGGAGGAAGAAGAAAAAGUUUUGUUAUAGGUGUAAGUCACAGAGAAUGGUUCCUUCCCAGUCAGAUGUGAUAUUUGGAAUAACGUCUAAGAUUUACAAGGAAUUAGUGAAUAAUCCUGUGAAGAAGGUAUUUUAGGUUCCAUUUUAGAGAUGAGGAAAUAGAUGUGGUGAAGUCACACAGUCAGCACAUGGCAGACUCCAGAUUCAAAACCAGGUCUGUUUGGCUCACAAUUUUUGUACAAGAGUGUGUGUGCAGCGAAUAUCACUUUAACUAAACGGGAGUCAUUGAUUAGAGGUUUUAAUGUAUCUUUGGUUCACAGGAAUUUAUGGCUGAGUCUCGAUUCCGCCUCUCCACAGCUCUUUUAUGGCUUGAUGCAGAUGAAAAUCUUGGAUGUCUAGCUCUGAAGAUGGUGGACAGUGGAGCCACAAAGUGGCAGGAACCUGAGUCUCUGAAUCACCAGUUGAAGGAGGAGUGUCCAAUAAUAAGAAAUAUCUGUUUUGAACAAAAAAUAAACUUUGAUUUUAUUUGAGCCAUUAAGAAAAAAAAGUUGAGUUGAAUUUGGACAGAUGAGAAGAAGUAUGACCAAUCCAGACGAGGCAAAUGACAGUAGAAAAGACAUGACAACAGGAAUAAGUGAAUUCUUUUAAGGAAGACAGUGACUUCUACUUUUAACUUUCUAAAAAGAGGCAUUUCAUGAAAAGGCAUUGAGUUAUAUCGCCCAUACUGAAGGCCUGUCCUUGCUAUUCUUUAGUAGGGUCUUGUAUACACUUUGGUUGUUGGUAUCAUAAAACGUUCCAGAAAGUGAAAUUGGGAUCCUAAAAAGUGAUAAC
rnacentral:lncRNA from 1 species